rnacentral:rRNA from 1 species
CCAGACUCCUACGGGAGGCAGCAGUGGGGAAUAUUGGGCAAUGGGCGCAAGCCUUACCCAGCAAUACCGCGUGAGUGAAGAAGGUCUUCGGAUUGUAAAGCUCUUUGAUCAGGGACGAACAGAUGACGGUACCUGAAGAACAAGCCCCGGCUAACUACGUGCCAGCAGCCGCGGUAAAACGUAGGGAGCGAGCGUUGUCCGGAAUUACUGGGUGUAAAGGGAGCGUAGGCGGGAUUGCAAGUUGGAUGUGAAAACUGCGGGCUCAACCCGGAGCGUGCAUUCAAAACUGCGAUUCUUGAGUGAAGUAGAGGCAAGCGGAAUUCCUAGUGUAGCGGUGAAAUGCGUAGAUAUUAGGAGGAACACCAGUGGCGAAGGCGGCGUGCUGGGCGUUUACUGACGCUGAGGCUCGAAAGUGUGGGGAGCAAACAGGAUUAGAUACCCCAGUAUUC